rnacentral:snRNA from 1 species
GGAUGUGAGGGCGAUCUGGCUGCGACAUCUGUCACCCCAUUGAUCGCCAGGGUUGAUUCGGCUGAUCUGGCUGGCUAGGCGGGUGUCCCCUUCCUCCCUCACCGCUCCAUGUGCGUCCCUCCCGAAGCUGCGCGCUCGGUCGAAGAGGACGACCAUCCCCGAUAGAGGAGGACCGUUCUUCGGUCAAGGGUAUACGAGUAGCUGCGCUCCCCUGCUAGAACCUCCAAAAACAAGCUCUCAAAAAAACCCAUAAUAAGAAAGGGGUGGUGGAGUGGCUCAAGGUGUA